CCUUUUUACGAAUGAAAAAUAUGCAAAGAUUGCAUUGACUAAUUUCUGGUGGUAGAGUAAGUUUGGUAGAGUGAAAGGAAUUCCUUGCCAGCUUACCAUUUUGCAUAGCCCAAACAUCCCUACAAAUCAAGGCAAUAAUAUUCCAAAUUGAGUGAGGGUAAAGUGAUGAAAAUUCCUCUUCGUCAUAUUUAUGCAAUUUCAUAGCCCCAAGUUCACCGCAUAAACCAUAGCUUAGAAUUGCCCCCUAGUAAAACUUAAUGAGGUUACCAAAAUUUGCAGUAGAAUAUCCUUUUGAGCUAACUGAAAUUGAGUCCAAUAACUUCACACAAACCAUUGAAACUGUGUCGUAUUGGAACUGUAUUCCUUUCUUGUCAUUGCUAAAAAUGCUGAAACUAUGCAAGUGUAGGGAGAAAUAAAUUUUUGAAUCUGGAAGCUUUUGGAACACACAAAAUUUUCACUGCUUUACCCAAGUUACCAUAAGAUUCCUUAAAUUUCGUAAGUCUCUCAACCUGAAACAUCAGCGCAAUAUUUGUAGAAGGGCCCAAUGGAGACGACAAAGCAACACCUGCUGAAGUACCCUGGUCAUUCAUAAUUGAAAUUGAAAAUGGCUCAAUCAACAAUCUUACUACACCAAGAACAUGUAAACCAAGACUAAGAUCCUCAUCACUGUUCAAUGUAUUGAUAUAG
rnacentral:lncRNA from 1 species